GCCGACUUAGCUCAAUCUGGCAGAGCAACUGACUUGUAAUCAGUAGGUUGAAGGUUCGAUUCCUUUAGUCGGCA
rnacentral:tRNA from 1 species